rnacentral:lncRNA from 1 species
AAGUUAGCCUCGGCGGACAGGCUUAGGAUGCAGAGGUCAUUACCAAAGCAGCAAAGGGAAUCUUUGUUGAAGGAAUAGUGGAAGAUUGUGAUGAGGAUGGUGGCGAGGGUUCUGAUCCACCGACUAGAUAUUUUCUUCAUAGAAAACUUAAGGAGCAAUCUCAGAAUUUCAAUCGAGAAGUGAAAAGCAUACUUGAGGU